rnacentral:rRNA from 1 species
UACGUAGGGUGCGAGCGUUAAUCGGAAUUACUGGGCGUAAAGCGUGCGCAGGCGGUUUUGUAAGCCAGAUGUGAAAUCCCCGGGCUUAACCUGGGAACUGCAUUUGUGACUGCAUAGCUAGAGUACGGUAGAGGGGGAUGGAAUUCCGCGUGUAGCAGUGAAAUGCGUAGAUAUGCGGAGGAACACCGAUGGCGAAGGCAAUCCCCUGGACCUGUACUGACGCUCAUGCACGAAAGCGUGGGGAGCAAACAGG